GACGAACGCUGGCGGCGUGCCUAAUACAUGCAAGUCGAGCGAAGUUUUUCUGGUGCUUGCACCGGAAAAACUUAGCGGCGAACGGGUGAGUAACACGUAAAGAACCUGCCUUAUAGACUGGGACAACUAUUGGAAACGAUAGCUAAUACCGGAUAACAGCAUUAACUGCAUGGUUGAUGUUUGAAAGUUGGUUUUGCUAACACUAUGAGAUGGCUUUGCGGUGCAUUAGCUAGUUGGUGGGGUAAAGGCCUACCAAGGCGACGAUGCAUAGCCGACCUGAGAGGGUGAUCGGCCACACUGGGACUGAGACACGGCCCAGACUCCUACGGGAGGCAGCAGUAGGGAAUCUUCCGCAAUGGGCGAAAGCCUGACGGAGCAACGCCGCGUAAGUGAAGAAGGAUUUCGGUUCGUAAAGCUCUGUUGUUAGGGAAGAAUGAUUGUGUAGUAACUAUACACAGUAGAGACGGUACCUAACCAGAAAGCCACGGCUAACUACGUG
rnacentral:rRNA from 1 species